AUUGAACGCUGGCGGCCUGCCUAACACAUGCAAGUCGAGCGAGCGGCGGACGGGUGAGUAAUGUCUGGGAAACUGCCUGAUGGAGGGGGAUAACUACUGGAAACGGUAGCUAAUACCGCAUACCAUCAGAUGUGCCCAGAUGGGAUUAGCUAGUACGUGGGGUAACGGCUCACCUAGGCGACGAUCCCUAGCUGGUCUGCGAGGAGGACCAGCAACACUGGAACUGAGACACGGUCCAGACUCCUACGGGAGGCAGCAGUGGGGAAGAUUGGAAAAUGGGCGCAAGCCUGAUGCAGCCAUGCCGCGUGUGUGAAGAAGGCCUUCGGGUUGUAAAGCACUGUCAGCGGGGAGGCGUUACCCGCAGAAGAAGCACCGGCUAACUCCGUGCCAGCAGCCGCGGUAAUUC
rnacentral:rRNA from 1 species